GAUAAACGCUGGCGGCGUGCCUAAUACAUGCAAGUCGAACGAGGACCUUGUAGCAAUACGGGGCUCCUAGUGGCGAAUGGGUGAGUAACGCGUUGGUGACCUGCCCCAAAGAGAGGAAUAACUCCGGGAAACUGGAGCUAAUACCCCAUGUGGUUACGGGUUUUAGAAAGCCGUAACUAAAGGAGCAAUCCACUUUGGGAGGGGCCUGCGUCCCAUCAGCUAGUUGGUAGGGUAAUGGCCUACCAAGGCGACGACGGGUAGGGGACCUCAGAGGGUGGCCCCCCACACUGGCACUGAAACACGGGCCAGACACCUACGGGAGGCUG
rnacentral:rRNA from 1 species